AAAAGCAAGACAUGUGUCACGCUAGGCCUUCACGUGAUCGAAUGCAGUCUCAGUUGACCAAUUAGAAGCAGCCUCGCCCGGGCGAUCUUUGGAACUGAGUACAGCGCUCAUUGCCGGAAAGAACGCCAAAGGAAUUUUAAGAACAUUCGUGACCUUGCUAAUGUUUCUCAAAAUAAGUCGAGGUGUUGUCUCUCACAAAACAAAUGUUUUCUUGGAUCGACUACAGUCAACAUCAAAUGUCUUCAAACGAGGAUCUGCACCAUAGUCCAACAGCUCCCUUACAAUGUCUGCAUGUCCCUUGUAUGAAGCCCAUACCAAAGGAGACCAACCUCCCUAUAGUGGAGAAUAUUUUGUUGGUCAUGGGAUUGUGACAGAGGUGUAAAGAUACGAUAGUACUCCAAAUACUGCAUUUCAUGCAAAAAAUCUGUCAAAGGAGAACUCCUAAAAGACUUUCCUCCAUCAAAUUUGAAACAGAGGAAAUGUCAUUUUCAGCUUUCAAGGCUGCGGCGUGGCUGUCGGUGUAACUAAAUAUCGUUUGGCGAGGGACGGAAGUUAU
rnacentral:lncRNA from 1 species